AUAUUUCACCACGUUACCUUAACCUGAUAGUUAGUUAAGCCCCGUUUAGCCUCAUUAAGUGAUUUAAUUUUUUAAAUGGCUGCACUACUUUGGUUUACAUUUAAACACAAACUUAUCACAAAGAUUAUUUUUUGGUAUUAUCUUCAUUCAGUUCACUUAACGAUUUUGUAAAUUUUAGCAAGUGUUUUCAACACUGGAAAGAGGAAGAGGAAAUCCAUAUUACCGCCAAAAAUGCAGUUUUAACCUAUUUUGUUUAUUUUGUUAGUUCAUGGCACAUCGAAAGCUAUGGAUAAUUUACGAGACAUAAUAAACGGCGCUCAGCUUCCUCGUUUUGUAAACAAACCGUCAACAGAUGAUGUUACAAUUAAAGUAAAUGUAAAAAAUCCUAUAGAUAAACCCAUUGCAGGAUGUUUUGUAGAGGUGCGAGGGUUAUCAAAUGGCAGAUGUAUCAUAGCAGAGGACUUUGUG